UACAGAGGGUGCAAACGUUGUUCGGAAUCACUGGGCAUAAAGCGCACGUAGGCGGUUGUGUAAGUGUGAAGUGAAAGCCCACGGCUCACCCGUGGAAUUGCUUUGCAGACUGCACGACUCGAGGAUGGUAGGGGAGAGCGGAACUCCUGGUGGAGCGGUGAAAUGCGUAGAUAUCAGGAGGAACACCGGUGGCGAAGGCGGCUCUCUGGUCCAUUUCUGACGCUGAGGUGCGAAAGCUAGGGUAGCGAACGGG
rnacentral:rRNA from 1 species